AGUCUCUUUGUGGCCGUGAGCAAGACGGAGGCCCCGAGCAGUGUCUAUUUUCGGGGAUUACUGUGUUCUGUGUUCUUGCUGGCUGCUACAAUCGCUACAGGAAGGACAUGAGACUCUGUAGAUACUCCCGUGGGCCUGAAAUGAAGAUGGCGUGGAGGAAGAAGGCCAGAAACGAAGAAUUACCCAGCGGAUGGUUCACGCAUGGGCCAAAGUUGACCCAGUGGUGGAGAGUGGUGGGAGGAUUUGCACCAGGGCUGGUUUUGCUUUUCCACUGAGAUGACCAACAGCAAAGUGGUGAAGGUUCAUGCAGACUCAGCAUUGUCAACUCCUCCACGCCCAGAAUGUUUUCCAGAGAUAGAAUGUGCCAGAUGCAUCACUACCUCUCAGUUUUUUGGUGCAGGAGUAACAGAUGAAGGUUUUGCAGAAAGGAUGCACUGCUGCACACCUUCUGAAAAGCAAUACCCGAGUCUCUCCGUCUUACCCCAGUGACGAUGGACAUGAAUGGAGCCCUACCUACCAUAGUCCAUUCACUAUAGCUGGAUCCCAAGCUCCUAGCCGAGUAGGGGAGGACGCUACUGAUUGGUGGGUGGGAUGUCUGUCGUCUGUGCCACCCAUCAUACUCAUGUAGAUUCAGGAAAUAUUCAUACUUCUUUACAUAGGUUAGAUGUUACAAAGAUAAGAAAAUUUUGUUGACAUCAUUGGAUUAAGCUGUGAUUUUACCUGUAACAAUUUUCAAAACUCACUAGGAUAAAAGAAUAAGUAAUUACAGUGAGUACAAGUCAGGAAAUAACAUUUGCUUAUUAUCAAUACAGGAUGUUCCAUGAGUUGAGGUACCGUACAUACUUUAGGGCAUGAUAACUUGUCAUUGUAAGUAUAAGAAUAACUCAUAUGUUGUUUUUUGCUUCUUAUUGCAAGAAAUUGAGCUUUAAUAUUUGUUCAUUGCCAGUGUUGCUUGUUGGUGAACCUACAGUAAUGAACAUUUAUUUGCACAAUCUAAGUGCUUAAAUCUUCACAGAGAACUGUUAUUAAGUGACAGGUUAAUGUUUUUUUCUGCUAGAUGAAGAGAAUGUGCAUGGCCACUCCCCACAGCCAGCCUAUUCUGUAAAUGUCAUAUACUACUAACAUGAAACUUUUCUAGUAUUCUUUCUAAAUGUUGUGUCAUGUUGUUGUAGUUGUUUGUGUGAGUCUGCCCCUCCCGUCCUGCUCCACAAAUAUUCUGGAAUUACCCUGUUACAUGAACCUUGAGGUUUCCAUUUUACUGAAUUAAUUGAAGAAUACUAUGUCUGAAUAAUCAAUGUUAUAUUUAAUAAAAGAUAUUUUUGAGUUAAUCAGCAGACUGCCAUUUGUGGCCAUGGCAAGCGCCUUAAAAGCAUUACUUAACUACUAGAAUGUCAUUGUGUUACAUGCACACUUCAUCUGGCAGGCAUAAAAACUUAAACUGCUACUUAAAAACUGUCCUGUGUAAAGAUUUGAGCACCAAGAUCGUGGUGCAAUUAAACAUUCGACUCAACACAGAACUGAACAAAUUUAUAUCUCCAAUUUCUUGCAGUAUGAAAUGAAAAAUGUGUAAAGCAUAUUUUUUAAAUGACCAGAAUUACCAUACCCUGAAGUAUGUACAAUUGCGAGCAGAAGACACGAAGCCUCCCCUUCCACCACCUUAGCAUAGUAAGGUGCAUAUCUUGCUUGGCAACAGUGAAAGUUUUCAUGGAUCUUCACUCAUGGGUUCAGUUUACUGUCGUUUCGAAACGUAGGUCUCUGCGUGUCUGACUCAGGCUGGCUAAAUCUCACUCGAGGUGUGUGUUGUAUAUGAUUCACCACGGCCUGAUCACGAGUUGGACUCGUAAUCGC